rnacentral:lncRNA from 1 species
AGUGUUUGUCUCCCGUGUCAGUGUUCCGUCUAUCAUGCAGCGCUGCUUUAUAGUGUCUUGUAUAAAUCCUAGUGUAGUUUACGUGUCGCUCCUUCAUCAGUUUAGCCGAUGUUUCCCUCUCACACACAUCAGCGCUCUCACAGGAGUCGUUCUGUAAUCUGCAAAUGUGGAAACAUCAUUUCCACACGGAUGUCGUCAUUCCCAGACACAAACAUGCCCUCAGCGCCUGGCAGGAGAUUUGAGCCGCCAUUACUGUAAUGAAAAACUGAAGCAUGGAGGAGCGAUGCCGCUUCAUUAGCACUGCGCAGCCACAGAGAGGAUUAAAGCCAAACCGCUUUAUGACGGAAAAAAGACGUAAGAGUUUAAAAGCACAAGAGAGGAAUGGGAGAGGACGUGCAUAGCAGUCGCUCCGGGCCGCAGUCCAGCACAUGCCUCUGGGAAAGUGUCUGGAAUUAUCCAGAGCCGGAUGUGGACACAAUGAGCCGCGAGCUGCUGGACGCUCCGCUGUUUUUCAUGCACACUUUCUGCUGUGUGUGAUGCGGAAACUACAGAGAGCGAAUCAGCCAACGCAAAUAUUGACUACAGGAAGACA